rnacentral:piRNA from 1 species
AGAGCUUAGCUGAUUGGUGAA